UACCGUAUUAUUUGCAACCUCAUCGGGAAGUAUGCUCAUAAAUUGUGGUGAUAAAAGUGCAAUCUUCUUAUCACUCAUGGCUUCCGCGUCUUUUGUCUUACCCGCCGCCAUCAUUCCAAUUUUGAUGGCUGCAAAAAAAAUGAGAACAUA
ensembl:ncRNA Y39D8B.5 ncRNA